GCUGGAAUAGCUCAGUUGGCAGAGCACACCCAUGGUAAGGGUGGGGUCCAGAGUUCGAAUCUCUGUUCCAGCU
rnacentral:tRNA from 1 species